rnacentral:rRNA from 1 species
UGGACCUCAGAUCAGGCAAGAGUACCCGCUGAGUUUAAGCAUAUCACUAAGCGGAGGAAA